rnacentral:lncRNA from 1 species
UUCUUCAUUUUUGACUUUUGACAAUUUGACUCUAAUGUGCCUCAGAGAGAAUCAUUUUGGGUUGAAUCUGUUUGGAGUUCUUUGAGCUUCCUGGAUCUCGAUGUCCAUCUCUCGCCCAAGACUUGAUUAUCUGAGUAGGCUGAACCAUCGGUGAAAAGGAGGCCAAGCAUCUCAAAAAUAGGACACGUGAGAGUAUGGAGCCAAUGUGACACUCAGAUUUGACACAUACAGAAGCGUGAAAAACUCUUGUGUGACUGGGAUAGCUCCUCUGCAAUGAGAACAUGCCUGGGAUAAUGUACUGAAAAGAUGUGAGAAAUACAUGAAGCAGAGUCCAGUCAUCCCAGCCAAGAACCAGCUGUGAAUGUAACCGCAUGACUUUGAGGCAAGUCCAGACCAAGAACAAAGAACCACUGGUCUUAAAGACAGACCUGCAGAUUCCUGAGCUAAAUAAAAGUUUAUUGUUGAAAGGCACUGAGUUGUUUUUG